rnacentral:rRNA from 1 species
GAUGAACGCUAGCGGCAGGCUUAACACAUGCAAGUCGAGGGGUAACAGGAGUGCUUGCACUCGCUGACGACCGGCGCACGGGUGCGUAACGCGUAUAGAACCUACCUUUUACUGAGGGAUAGCCUUUAGAAAUGAAGAUUAAUACCUCAUGGUAUUGUAAUUUGGCAUCAGAUUAUAAUUAAAGAUUUAUUGGUAAAAGAUGGCUAUGCGUCUUAUUAGCUAGAUGGUAAGGUAACGGCUUACCAUGGCAACGAUAAGUAGGGGCCCUGAGAGGGGGAUCCCCCACACUGGUACUGAGACACGGACCAGACUCCUACGGGAGGCAGCAGUGAGGAAUAUUGGGCAAUGGAGGCAACUCUGACCCAGCCAUGCCGCGUGCAGGAAGACUGCCCUAUGGGUUGUAAACUGCUUUUAUACAGGAAGAAACACACCUACGUGUAGGUGCUUGACGGUACUGUAAGAAUAAGCACCGGCUNACUCCGUGC